GACGAACGCUGGCGGCGUGCCUAAUACAUGCAAGUUGAGCGCUGAAGGUUGGUACUUGUACCAACUGGAUGAGCAGCGAACGGGUGAGUAACGCGUGGGGAAUCUGCCUUUGAGCGGGGGACAACAUUUGGAAACGAAUGCUAAUACCGCAUAAAAACUUUAAACACAAGUUUUAAGUUUGAAAGAUGCAAUUGCAUCACUCAAAGAUGAUCCCGCGUUGUAUUAGCUAGUUGGUGAGGUAAAGGCUCACCAAGGCGAUGAUACAUAGCCGACCUGAGAGGGUGAUCGGCCACAUUGGGACUGAGACACGGCCCAAACUCCUACGGGAGGCAGCAGUAGGGAUCUUCGGCAAUGGACGAAAGUCUGAACGAGCAACGCCGCGUGAGUGAAGAAGGUUUUCGGAUCGUAAAACUCUGUUGGUAGAGAAGAACGUUGGUGAGAGUGGAAAGCUCAUCAAGUGACGGUAACUACCCAGAAAGGGACGGCUAACUACGUG
rnacentral:rRNA from 1 species